UACGGAGGGGGCUAGCGUUGUUCGGAAUUAUUGGGCGUAAAGAGCUUGUAGGCGGUUUGUCGCGUCUGCUGUGAAAAUCCGGGGCUCAACCCCGGACUUGCAGUGGGUACGGGCAGACUAGAGUGUGGUAGGGGAGACUGGAAUUCCUGGUGUAGCGGUGAAAUGCGCAGAUGUCAGGAGGAACACCGAUGGCGAAGGCAGGUCUCUGGGCCACUACUGACGCUGAGAAGCGAAAGCAUGGGGAGCGAACAGG
rnacentral:rRNA from 1 species